rnacentral:rRNA from 1 species
UCCCAUGGCCAUGCCACCCUGAGAACACCUGAUCUUGUCUUAUCUCAGAAGCAAAGCAGGGUUCGGCCUCAUUAGUACUUGAAUGGGAGACUGCUGGAAUACCGUGUGGUUUAGGGGU